AUGUACUAGCUGUACAUUCCGGUUCCUAUGCUCCGUCCGCCCCGAGCUGACACCCGCUCGCUACGCUUUGAGGACA
rnacentral:sRNA from 1 species